AAAUAUUGUUAUUUUCAUACUCACGAUCUCACAACAAAAAUAAAAUUCCAAUUUUACCAUUACCAUCUCAAUUAACUAUUAAUUUUUAGAUGAUAUGAU
rnacentral:sRNA from 1 species